UACGGAGGGUGCAAGCGUUAUCCGGAUUCACUGGGUUUAAAGGGUGCGUAGGAGGGCAGGUAAGUCAGUGGUGAAAUCUCCGAGCUUAACUUGGAACUGCCGUUGAUACUAUCUGUCUUGAAUACCGUGGAGGUGAGCGGAAUAUGUCAUGUAGCGGUGAAAUGCUUAGAUAUGACAUAGAACACCAAUUGCGAAGGCAGCUUACUACAUAGUUAUUGACACUGAGGCACGAA
rnacentral:rRNA from 1 species